rnacentral:lncRNA from 1 species
UUAUUUACCACUGCAAUCUGAUUCUCAAGUAUUCAGAAGGAAUUAACAGGACCUGGUGGGCUAGGAGAGCCAACCAUGUUUCUGGUCAAGUGAAAUUGAUUAAGUGCGUAAUGAGCUCACAAGUUAUGUGUUGAAGAACAUCCUCAAGCUGUAAAGUAUGCAGUUGCUCAUGCCUUAGAAGCUGUGAAGUGAAAUAGGCUAGAAAUGUGUUUUUGUGCUCCAAAGUGACAAUUUAAAGUGCAUUUCUUCACUUAUUUUGCUAGUGGAGUAGUAUAGAUGUGUUCCAUAUUUUGGUGUUGGAUACAAUUAUGUGGAUUAUAACA